GUAGGUGGCAAGCGUUGUCCGGAAUUAUUGGGUGUAAAGCGCGCGCAGGUGGGUUCUUUAAGUCUGAUGUGAAAGCCCCCGGGCUCAACCGGGGAGGGUCAUUGGAAACUGGGGAACUUGAGUGCAGGAGAGGAAAGUGGAAUUCCACGUGUAGCGGUGAAAUGCGUAGAUAUGUGGAGGAACACCAGUGGCGAAGGCGACUUUCUGGCCUGUAACUGACACUGAGGCGCGAAAGCGUGGGGAGCAAACAGGAUUAGAUACCCUGGUAGUCCACGCCGUAAACGAUGAGUGCUAAGUGUUGGGGGGUUUCCGCCCCUCAGUGCUGCAGCUAACGCAUUAAGCACUCCGCCUGGGGAGUACGGUCGCAAGACUG
rnacentral:rRNA from 1 species